GACAUUGUGGCCGAGUGGUCUAAGGCGGUAGAUUUAAGCUUUGCUGAGAUCUCUACUCCAGAAAUGGGCACGCGUUCGAACCGCGUCAAUGUCA